rnacentral:rRNA from 1 species
UACGUAGGGGGCUAGCGUUGUCCGGAAUCAUUGGGCGUAAAGCGCGUGUAGGCGGUCCGGUAAGUCCGCUGUGAAAGUCGGGGGCUCAACCCUCGAAUGCCGGUGGAUACUGUCGGGCUAGAGUGCGGAAGAGGCGAGUGGAAUUCCUGGUGUAGCGGUGAAAUGCGCAGAUAUCAGGAAGAACACCCGUGGCGAAGGCGGCUCUCUGGGACAGUACUGACGCUGAGACGCGAAAGCGUGGGGAGCGAACAGG